CUCAGAUCAGAUUUCUGCAGUUCUUCGGGCCAAGAAGGUUCCAAUGUCCUCUUCUUGAUGCUGCCAACAAUACUGCCAUUAGCUCUCUCUCCCCAAAAGGAACGACUGUAGGAAGCCUGACCCAACAGAACCAUAUUAAGAAUAUAUGAACUGCUUCGUUUAUGCUCUAGAGCACUUUGCCCUUUCUCAUUGAAAUGCAUGCUACAUCUUACUGCAAAUGGAAAACACCUGGCCUUAUUUGAUCACAUGACUUCAGAGGAAAUCAAGUCCUGCACUGUGUCUGGUGGCCUGGCUGUAGUGAGGAAACAGUUUGAGAAUGGGCAGAUGACCCCUUCAAGGACUACCUUUUCUUGCUCCAAGCACCAGCUCAAAUCUUCAAAGGCAGAAACAAAAAUCCAGAUUACUGUUAGCAGUACCAGGGAAGCUGAGUUUAGUAGAACAACCUCCAAAAAGGCCUAGUGGAAGCCUUUCAAACUCAAGAGGAGUCUCAGCAGUCUUCCGCCAUCUUUCUUUGGCAAGGACAUGUCUGAAAAGAAAAACUAAAAAUCACAAUUGGGGAAGAGCUCUGGAUCUCCAAAGUACCAAUCUGCAGGUCUUGUAUGCAGGCUACCAUUAUGUCCGGAUAACAACAAUCUGCUGCCCAGGAAGAUUAAUCUUGGAAUUCAGUAGGCACUGUAAUACUAUGCUCCUCAGAAAAUCAGGACAUUUGUGAUCUGCUUUUCAUCCAUGGCUUCUUCUGCCAUCAGACAGAUGCUAUUAAACUCUGCCACCACCAGAGCAACAUGCAGACUACAUGGAUACAUAGUUGAGACCAGGGGGAAAGGGGGCCACUGUAGAACAAUUAAUCCAAUUGUAAGGUACAUAGACCCUGGCUCAGGUUGCUUCCAGUCAGUAGAAAACUACCUGUUACUCCUCAACAUCAGAAACUCUGUUUGCAGAUGUUAGAACGAACCAAACAUUCCAACCUCCUGGCUCCUGCCCCAACAAGAGUCCAUCUCCAAGCUCUGGGGAAGUACUAGCUCCUAGAAAAACCGGGUGCACAGGACGGCAAGAGCGCGAGCACAAAUGGUAUGUGAGCAUGCAUGAGUGAAGGGUGCCCUUUGUUGAGGGCAUAACUUCAAAUUGUCUUAUUGAGGACAGGCUCCCUUCUUAUACCAUUCACUCUACAGCACUACCUUUCCACUAACUGUUCAUUGGUCAACAACUUUGCCCGGCAACAGCAAACAGCUAGCAACUUCCAUGUCUUAACAGCUGGAGAACAAGCAGUCUGAGACAGCAAGGCGUCUCCUGAAUCACUCUUCUUUGUUCCUUCUAAACUCUUUACAUUCCUUGUGGCCUCGUUGUUAGGAGUUGAUGUUAUCACCAACCAUGGGGCUUGUCGACCCCCAUGGCCACACUCCCACAGUUGUUCACUGUGUUCCCAUGGUCCUUCUCUGCAGAAUUCCUCUCCAGCAGGUCAGCCCCUCACCUGUAUAAUGGUUAUUCCUCCCCAGGUGCAAGACUAUGCUUGCUCUUGUUGAACCUUAACCGGUUCCUC